GAAAUGUGAUAAGUAAUGUGAAUUGCAGAAUUCAGUGAAUCAUCGAAUCUUUGAACGCACAUUGCGCCCGCCAGCAUUCUGGCGGGCAUGCCUGUUCGAGCGUCAUUUCAACCCUCGAGCCCCCCCGGGGGCCUCUGUGUUGGGGGACGGCACACCAGCCGCCCCCGAAAUGCAGUGGCGACCCCGCCGCAGCCUCCCCUGCGUAGUAGCACACACCUCGCACCGGAGCGCGGAGGCGGUCACGCCGUAAAACGCCCAACUUUCUUAGAGUUGACCUCGGAUCAGGUAGGAAUACCCGCUGAACUUAAGC
rnacentral:misc_RNA from 1 species